UACGGAGGGGGCUAGCGUUGUUCGGAAUCAUUGGGCGUAAAGGGCGCGUAGGCGGCCGAUCAAGUCGGAGGUGAAAUCCCUCGGCUCAACUGAGGAAUUGCCUUCGAUACUGUUCGGCUUGAGUCCUGGAGAGGGUAGCGGAAUUCCCGGUGUAGCGGUGAAAUGCGUAGAGACCGGGAAGAACACCAGUGGCGAAGGCGGCUACCUGGACAGGUACUGACGCUGAGGCGCGAAAGCUAGGGGAGCAAACGGG
rnacentral:rRNA from 1 species